rnacentral:rRNA from 1 species
GUUCCCGGAGGAGAUCACUCAGCUCGUCAUGCUAGAACACUUUUUCAAUGUGCUCCCCAACGAAAAGGCGACGACGCAUUCGUAUGUCAAUCCAUAUCAACUUUCGAUGCCAUUUACUGCGUCUACCAUGGUGACCACGGGUAACGAGGAGUCAGGGUUCAAUUCCGUACAGGGACCCUGACAAACGGCUACCACAUGCAAGGAAGGCA